GUGUCAGCCGCCGCGGUAAUACGUAGGUGGCAAGCGUUGUCCGGAUUUACUGGGCGUAAAGGGCGUGCAGGCGGUUCGUUAAGUUCGAGGUGAAAGCUCCCGGCUCAACUGGGAGAGGUCCUUGGAUACUGGCGGACUUGAGGGAGGCAGAGGAAAGUGGAAUUCCCGGUGUAGUGGUGAUAUGCGUAGAUAUCGGGAGGAACACCAGUGGCGAAGGCGGCUUUCUGGGCCUUACCUGACGCUGAGACGCGAAAGCGUGGGGAGCGAACCGGAUUAGAAACCCCCGUAGUCC
rnacentral:rRNA from 1 species